AACGCACCUUGCGCCUCUUGGCUAUUCCGAGAGGCAUGCCUGUUUGAGUAUCAUGAACACCUCAACUCUCACGGUUUGUCCGUGAUGAGCUUGGACUUCUGGAGGUUUUGCUGGCCUGCGGUCGGCUCCUCUCAAAUCAAUCAGCUUACCAGUGUUUGGUGGCGUCAUGGGUGUGAUAACUAUCUACGCUUGUGGCCGUCUGCCAGGUAACCUUCAGCGAUGGAGGUUUGCUGGGGCUCACAAAUGUCUCUCCCCAGCGAAGACAGCUUUUUGAACGUUCGAUCUCAAAUCAGGUAGGACUACCCGCUGAACUUAA
rnacentral:misc_RNA from 1 species